rnacentral:rRNA from 1 species
GAUGAACGCUGGCGGCGUGCCUAAUACAUGCAAGUCGAGCGAACGGACGAGAAGCCCGCUUCCUUGCUGUUAGCGGCGGACGGGUGAGUAACAAGUGGAUAACCUACCUAUAAGACUGGGAUCACUUAGGGAAACCGGAGACAAUACAGGAUGAUCUUUUGAACCGUAAGGUUCAAUAGUGCAUGAUGGUUUUGUUGUAACUUAUAGAUGGACCCGCGUUGCAUUAGCUAGUUGGUAAGGUAACGGCUUACCAAGGCAACGAUGCAUAGCCGACCUGAGAGGGUGAUCGGCCACACUGGAACUGAGACACGGUCCAGACUCCUACGGGAGGCAGCAGUAGGGAAUCUUCCGCAAUGGGCGAAAGCCUGACGGAGCAACGCCGCGUGAGUGAUGAAGGUCUUCGGAUCGUAAAACUCUGUUAUUAGGGAAGAACAUAUGUGUAAGUAACUGUGCACAUCUUGACGGUACCUAAUCAGAAAGCCACGGCUAACUACGUG